rnacentral:lncRNA from 1 species
CUCGUAAACCUCUCUCCUGCAACGCUGCAAUUACUCUCUCCAGCCCCGAUUCUUCUCAUUGAAGCAUAGGACUGUAAGGUAAUUUUUGUAGAAAAUUUACUGUCAAACAUGAAAAGGGCAUGAAUUAGCCACUGAUUUUAAUUUUCAACGGUUGACCUGGAUUUGAUGGUUUGUGAAGCACGUUUAUUUAAUUAACUUCUUGUUUCUUGUGAUGGUUGUUUUUAAUGUUGCUAUUGAUUUGAUUAAUUUUUGAAUCACAGGCUGAAGUGCAAAGGUGGAUCCUUUUGAGCCAGAGAAGGGCGGCAAUGCCCUAAAUAGUGUGCCCAAACAGAAUCGAUCUGGGAUUAGGGUUCAUAAACAUGUGUGGAAGCAGAUGGGAAAUGAAGAAAAGAAGACUGCUGUCAAUGAGGAAAUGAAGAGAUUGAACAGGCUGCCCGCCAACAGCAGUUAUGCUUCUCACCGUUUGCGGGUCUUGAAUAAAAUACUGCAGCUGCUGUCGGUUCAGGUUUGUGUAAAUAUUUUUUUGUGUUUGGCAAAAAUCUUUGUUUUAAGUGCAAUUUUACUGUAGAUUUUGUGAUUAGUGGAAAAAUUAUGCUUGCUGGAUUUAAGGGGGUUAGAUGGAAAUACUUCCUCCAUAUGGAGAUUUUGGGGGUAUUUAAGAAUUAGCUAAUAUCUGAGUUAUGAUUUGUUUCGUCUUACUAAUAUUACAUUGACUCAUGCUUCAUUUUUCAUCUCUCAACUGUUUACUAUUACUGCUAGUCCUGAAAUCUGUAAAAUCUUAGAUAAAUGUGCAAUGUAUUUCAUCUUUCAUAAGAAAAUUUCAUUAUUGGUAUGGUUUAUGUCUUAUGUACGAUGGGCAUAUAAAGUGAUGUUUUUAUUUUUCGACUCCAAAUUACUAAUUUGUUUUUUUGUUCUUGGUUGAUAGAGAAACACAUCACAAGAUGAGGAGUUGGAGUUGCUUUUUGCUGGGCUUCAUAUCUGAUGGCAUUUUGGUGUUUGAAUGCUGGUCAGUUUAGUAAAGUUAUGUAAUAAUUUAAAUUUGUUACUUACUCCAUCUAGGUUUUUGUUCAUAUUGGGUUAUAAAUGGCUUGAAAGUAGUUAGUGCCUUCAUUUAAGGAAGUUUCACGUUGAAUCCUGCGAUGUAGUUAUCUGUCUUGCCCUUUCAAAUUGAUAAAAGUGAAUUCUCACACUUCCAGACAAUUGUUCAUAGCUAUGGCAUGCACUUUUCUCUCUAAUGAUUGAAGAACGUCAGGUUUUCUACAUGGCUUCCAUUGCUUCACUUGAAAAUAUAAUGAUUUGUUAUUUGAAGAUAGGAAUGGCAAUUGACCCCGCCCCAACGGGGCCCCUCCCCAAAUGGGGCAUAAAACCGGGUGGGGAGGGGGCGCCCCGCCCUGAACCCGCCCCGUGAAGAAAAAAUAAAAAAUAAUAAUUUUAUUUCUAGACAAUUCAUCCGUUAAAAACUCAUUUUGAAUUUGUAUUUUAUUCUCUAAUAAUAACAUAAUUCGAAUCUUUCAAAAUGUAAAAAAAAUUAAAAAUUAAAAAAAUUAAACGGAGCAAAAAGUUGCCCCGCCCCACCUAAGGUGGGGUGGGGCGCGGGGCGGGGUUUUGGCCAAACGGGGCAGGGGGACGGCCCGCCCCGUUGCUAUCACUAUUUGAAGAUGGGCGAAAACAUGUAACUAAGAAUGGUAUAUGAGGCAUUUUUGUAUUAUAAUUUCGUCCCCAAAAAAAUAAAAAAAUAUAUAUAUACACACACACACAUUAAAUUUUCAGUAUUGCAAGUUUUUCAAAAUACAUGAAUGUAAUUAAUAAAGUUUACCGCCUUCUUUUAGUGCACUUGCAAUUUUCCCAAAUUGAAUUACAAUGAUCUAGCCACUGUGAAACCACAAAUGCAAAAAAAAUAUAUAUAUAUAAUAAUAAUAAUAAUAAUAAUAAUAAUAAAAGCUCUGGUCGAUCAUCACUAUAUUAGUCUAUUCAGAUCUGAUUUUCAACCAACUUGAGGAUUAUUUCAGCCUUUUGAAGUACUUUGAUUUUGUUGCUCUCAUUAAGUGUCCUGAUGGGCGAUUGAAACAAGAUCACAAUAUCUUUUGUGAAUUCGUUGCUCUUCUUUUCUCUCAGUUUUCCAGUUUUGAGAUUGACCAACACCUUUUGCAUUUAUGGAUGGGGACAUCUUUGAUCUAUGUUUUUUAUGAAUUUCAAUUCAUAUUUCACAUUCUUGUUAAAGGUAAAGGCACUUGUAUAUAUCCUGCGUGCCCCUUCUUUCAGGUUUAAUGGUUUAUAGCACUUACCUUAGCAUUUUGUCCAUGUCUGGAGAAACAUUCAUACUUCUUAGCAUUUCGCUUAUAAAAUGAGAACCCUUGGAGGGGCUUUGGCAUAAAUUAUAAUGCUUUCAUAUAAUACAUUUUUCUCUCUCUUUUUGGUUUGUUAUCUGGCCAUGCUGUGACUCGAAGAAGCUAAACUAGUAAAUGGGUACAGUCUACUGUUGUUAAUCUAACAUCCAUCUUGAAUGUGUUGCAGAAGGUUGAACCAUGGAUAUUCUUCACUAAAAGUGCUGGGACAUUACAAUGCUCUCAAAGUUACUGCAAAUAUGGCUUCAUGAAACUCUUAUACAUGUGAAUAAUUUUGUGCAUCUCAUUGUCCUGGAAAUAUGGAAUUUGUGUGGUUUCUCUUUCUUUCCGUGUAACUCUGUUUUUUAGAGCCUUAAGGGGAUAACUUUAGCAAUGUACAUGGAAAAUUACUUCUCCCUCCUUGUUUUGUUGUUUUUCUCUUCAAAUUGGGUUCCCCUUUUAAUUGCAAGAUACUCCCCGUUUUAUUUCUCUGUGGGUCUUUACCACAUGGAAAAGGAUACUAAUAUAUCAUAAGGAAGCAAUAUGCUAUUAGACAUAUAUGUACCGUGUAAAAUGGUGCGCACACCACGAAACACGAAUGUUGCUCCAUUUUCACGAGUUUUUAGGUCGCUCUUUCUUCUUGUCACUGGUGCUUGAAGCUGUUCCAG